UAAAACAAUAUCUGUAAUAGGAUGUUGAAUUCCUACUGACCCGAUUGUUUUGUUACUUAAUGAUGACUCUAAAAAAUUUGAUAGAACCAAACGGUAGAGUAUGGCUCUAACAAAGAUAUGGGACACAGAGUUGGGAUUUUCUUUAACUUCAUGAGUAAAGAUGUUUUGAUAUACUUAAUUUACAGCCUUACAAUCAUUUCUUUAUUUAUUUCUAGUCUAGAUGCUGCAAUGGUGUAUUUCCUCUACUUUUUGAUACCAACAUUGUCUUUAAUUAUUCAUAUUUAGAUAAUCCCUCAGCUUCUUCAAUUUAGUCCAGUCAUCGACAUCGAUAUGUAUGACUAGAUAUUGUCUUACAUUUUGGUUGUCAUACUAUGACAAGGUGCAUGUGGAGCAGCUGCAGAGAGAGACUUCUGGUACGGACUGUUUACUUUUUGUUCGGAUAAUUAUUUAUCAAAGAAUGGACAAAAUCAGUGGAGUUCUCUUAAGUUUGUUUACUUGCAGCAAGUAGAGUCAGUUUACAGCACUUCAGCAUAAGUACAGAAAAUGAGUGUAGAUUGUUCACAACAGUGUCUUUUUAAAGGAGUUGGGAGUCAAGUUAGUUAUUCGGCUCAUGCAAUCAGUAGCUUUUCUUCUUAUCUCUGGUCAGGCCUGGCAUCUCCUUCACAUUAUGCUCUCGGCCCUCAGGAUACAUCCUUUGCUCUUUGUAAGGUCAUUCAGCUUUCAUGAUUAACACAUGAAAGACAAAAAUACUCAAACAGAAAUACUAAAACAGAAAUACUACAACGGCAGUUUGAAUGCAAAUGGUUUAACAAAGAAACUGAAGCAAAACUGCUAUAAGCAUAUUUUUCUAACACUUUUCCUGUUAAAUACUGUUGUCCUUUAACAGUUGGACUGAAGUGUGUCAGUGAACUGAUGCCCUUAUUGUGAGCUGCAGAAUACAUCUUUAAACAUCAACAUGGUAUAGAAAGACUAUAGAGAAACUAUAAAAAACAGAGCUCUAUGUGUUAUUGAAAUUGAUUUAACCAUUCACAAACCAAAAUCAAACUGCUGUUUUUCAGUCCAAGAAACUAGACUGACUGCCACCGAGAGCAAAACAAGAGACCUUGAAGAAGAGAACGCAGACUUGCAGACCAGACUGAGCAGCAGUGAGUCCAGGAUUGACCAGCUGGAGAGACAAAAUGCAGGUGAUGACACACACACACACACACACACUGACAUGCAUUGACUUUUUUUUGUUUACAGAGAAACCGAAGGUGGCAUUUUAUACAGCUCUGACUGAAGCAGGAAAUGUUGGACCGUACAACAAAGACAUCACACUGAAAUACAGCAAGGUCUUCACCAACAUUGGCAAUGCUUACAAUCCAGCUACAGGUUUCUUCACAGCACCAGUCAGCAGGGUCUACUAUCUCCAGUUCACUGUGUGUGGUUCCAAAAAACUUUAUAUGGCUGUAUUUUUGUAGAACAAGAACAAUCAAAGGAUCAUGUAUAAUUAUAAGAUAAAGGAAGGAGAGGAACUUGAUUAUUUCACAAACUCUGUUGUCUUGGAGCUGAAAGCAGGAGAUGAAAUUCACCUGGAUCUCCCAUCAGACCAUUCAGUCUUUGAUGAUAGGAAUAACUACAGCACCUUCAGUGGCUCUCUUCUCUUCCCACUGUAAGGAUGCCGUUUAGGCUGCUGUGUGAUUGUACCUGUUGUUGUUGGCUACACUGGGAUUCUUUAGAAAGUGCUGAUAAAUGUCUGCACCGCUGCCUCCAAGACUAAUGUCACUGCAUGUAUCAAAUAAUGUGAUUCUGAAUCUGACCUCCCGCCUGUGUCAUCACAUGAAAACAACAUUCAAAUAAAUCAAAAAGUCAUUGAA